GGGCUUUGUGCAUGUGAGGAGAGCACUUUACCAAUUCAGCUAUAUCCCCAACCCUGAGAGACCUUUAUUUUAUUCAUUUAUUUAUAAGCGGAGAAUCGAACCCAGUACCACAUACAUGCAAGGCAAGCACUCUGCCACUGAGCCACACCCCCAGCCCUAGUAUAGGUAUGUUUUGCAUUCUUUGUGCUACUCUUGACAGUCCUAUACAUAGUAGGUACUUAAUAAAUAGUGUGGAAUAAACAUUGCUUGAUUAAAAGAUGCCAAGGAGAUGCAAUCAGUAAAUUCAAGACGGAAAUGGAGGAGACAAUCUAAUAUCUUCAAUGAAUAGGUUAAAAGGAGAAGAUUUUUAAAAAAGAUAAAAGAGGGUUGGUUUGUUUGUUUUUCAGUGAUGGGGAUCCAACUCUUGUAUGCUAGGCAAAUCCCCUACCACUGAGCCAUAUCCCAUCCCAUAAAGGAAAAAAUUUAUAGACUAAAAGAGACUUAAGAGACAUACUAACCAUUUGAAUUCUUUUUUUGGAUUCUAAUUCAAAUAAACUGAAUAAAUUGUAAAGAAAAACUAUUAUGAGAUAAUUAGAAGUAUGUACACUGGCUGGCUUCUUGGUGAUGUUAAAAGACUUUCCUUAGGUUUAGUAAUAAGCUUGGGGUUAUGUUUACUUUUAGAGUUCUCAUCCAAGGGUGGCACACACCUGUAAUUCCAGUAGCUCUGAAGACUGAGGCAGAAGGAUUGCUAGUUCAAGGCCAGCCUCAGCAACUUA
rnacentral:lncRNA from 1 species